rnacentral:rRNA from 1 species
UGAGGAAUAUUGGGCAAUGCCCGCAAGGGUGACCCAGCAACGCCGCGUGGAGGAUGAAUGUCGUAAGAUUGUAAACUCCUGUUAGAGGGGAAGAAUAGUACCGGUUGGACCGGUAUAUGACUGUACCCUCAGAGAAAGCCCUGGCUAACUACGUGCCAGCAGCCGCGGUAAUACGUAGGGUGCAAGCGUUAAUCGGAAUUACUGGGCGUAAAGCGUGCGCAGGCGGUUCGGAAAGAAAGGUGUGAAAUCCCAGGGCUUAACCUUGGAACUGCACUUUUAACUACCGGGCUAGAGUACGUCAGAGGGGGGUAGAAUUCCACGUGUAGCAGUGAAAUGCGUAGAGAUGUGGAGGAAUACCGAUGGCGAAGGCAGCCCCCUGGGAUGAUACUGACGCUCAUGCACGAAAGCGUGGGGAGCAAACA